rnacentral:rRNA from 1 species
AUACGUAGGGGGCGAACGUUGUCCGGAAUUAUUGGGCGUAAAGGGUACGCAGGCGGCCAUGUAAGUCAGAUGUGAAAGGUCAGGGCUUAACCCUGGUUAGCAUUUGAAACUGUGUGGCUUGAGUUAAGGAGAGGAAAGUGGAAUUCCUGGUGUAGCGGUGAAAUGCGUAGAUAUCAGGAGGAAUACCAGUGGCGAAGGCGACUUUCUGGACUUAUACUGACGCUGAGGUACGAAAGCGUGGGGAGCAAACAGGAUUAGAUACCCUGGUAGUCCACGCCGUAAACGAUGAGUGCUAGGUGUCGGGUGUCAAAGCUCGGUGCCGGAGUUAACACAUUAAGCACUCCGCCUGGGGAGUACGUUCGCAAGAAUGAA